rnacentral:rRNA from 1 species
UUGACCUCGGAUCAGGUAGGAAUACCCGCUGAACUUAAGCAUAUCAAUAAGCGGAGGAAAAGAAACCAACAGGGAUUGCCUCAGUAACGGCGAGUGAAGCGGCAACAGCUCAAAUUUGAAAUCUGGCCCUAGGCCCGAGUUGUAAUUUGCAGAGGAUGCUUUUGGCAAGGUGCCUUCCGAGUUCCCUGGAACGGGACGCCAUAGAGGGUGAGAGCCCCGUCUGGUCGGACACCGAGCCUCUGUAAAGCUCCUUCGACGAGUCGAGUAGUUUGGGAAUGCUGCUCAAAAUGGGAGGUAUAUGUCUUCUAAAGCUAAA